UCACGGGAGCCUGGCGGUGGCGGGCUGCACCGGCUCCCGGGAGGGGCGGUGUGGAGAGUGACCUGUGCUCGCACACAGGCUUCUUGGUGGUGGCAGCAGCAGCCUUAGAGUCUCAUGCCCGUCUCUGGGGUCCACGCUGAUGGCCGCGGCUCGCGCCUGUCUCUGGAGCUCGUUUAGGCAGCGCUCUGAAUCCCCUCUCCUCGCGCACCAGGAAACAAAGAGUGAGACAGACAUAGGAUGCAGUAAAAUUCUCACCCUCCUUCCAGUGGCGACUGAUUACACAGAGCUGUGCUACUCAGAGUGAAGUCUGUGGACCCGGGCUGGUCCCCAGUAAGGGAAUAUGUUAAAUGCAGCGGCCAGAGCUGACCAGGGAGCACAGCCGUCUCUCCUUCCUUCCCGUAAAGAGCUGCCAGCCCUGUGUGAGCGCUGACCCUCUUCCUGGAACCAACCUCAAGCAGCAGUGCCUGCUUCCGGCUCCCGCCUCGGGCUUCUGGCAUGUGGAUACCAUAGGGAGUAGAGAGAAACUGAAGGAGAGAACUGAGGUCAGAGAAAGCUCACCCUGACUAAAAUUAUGAACUGUGUCGGGAAGUGCAGAAGUUGGAGACAUGGAAACCAGACAACUGCAACACUGCAAGUAAGAGGAUUGAGGACUGUCAAAGAAAAAGCGGGAUUGAAACCAAGCAAGACCUUGUGAGGCCCUCCCAGGUACAAAAACCCCUCCAUUUCCCCCAUUUCUUGUUUGUAGAAAAAGCCUUUAGUCUCCUAGCCUUUCCCUGAGUUCCAAACUCAGUUAUUAAUUAGGGAAGUGAGAGAAUGCAGAAACAAGGCAAGAAAUGUAAUGAAAAUAGUUCAGAGGUAAAACAGAGUCCUAGUUCCUCCUCAAGAGAUACACAUAGCAAUCUGACACACAUCUCUGAGUUGUUAUGCAGAAACUAAGACCCACCCCGCCCACGUGGAGGAUGGUGACUACAUGCUGACCACAAGCAUGCAGACUCCAGACUGGUUGGAACCAGAAGGUUGAUGAUGAAGAUUCCUGAAACAUCACCCUGUGACCUCACCACCAAGCAACCAAAGGAAAAUCAUGCACCCUGCAGUCCUCACUCCAAAUGUUGCCUUAAAAACUCCUUUGCUGAAAGCCAUAGGGGAGUUGGGGUCUUUUGAGCAUGAGCUGCCUGUUCUCCUUGCUUGGUGCAUGUAAUAAAUGCUGCACAUUCCUUCACCACAACCUGCUGUCAGAGGAUUAGUUUUGCUGUGCAUUGGGCAAGUGGACACAAGUUCAGUUCGGUAACAUUCCCUCCCCUCACACCCUGACACUGAACCAUUAACAGUCCUGAUUCUAUUUCCAAAAUAUAACUCUACUCUCUCCUUCCACCUCCAACACCAGCUCAUUUGUCAAACCACAGUCAUCUUCUGCCUAGAUUGCCCCCAGCAUCUAUAGUCUAGCCUGCAAAGGGGGGACACAGUGGGCCCCUGCCUCAAAAACUGUGUCCCAAUCGGGAGGAUUUGGUGAGGAGUUUUAUAACAAUGGUUCAAGGGUGGGAUUGCUGAUAAAAUUAGGGGUGUGUAGGGCCUGAAUUCCUUUAAUCUGGUCUCAGGUGGUCUCUUGAUGAGCUUCUCUGGUUCCUUUAAUCUGGCCACAGGUGGUCUUCUCUGGAGUGAAGAAUGCUAGCACCAUCCAUUUAUUGGGGGUUUUAGUUCUGUAAUGAGCUCAAGGUAUCGGUCUGUGUAUCCCUUGAGGUGGAACCAGGACCCUGCCCCAAGGCUGCACUGUUGUUCCGUAGCUGCAACUCCCUUGUCUCUGUGGCCUUUCCCUUCCCUGAUUAGCAAUCUGCCCUUUGUUCGAAUCUGCCCUUUGGAACUCAGGGAAGGUCAUGGAAGCUGGAGUCUGUUCCCUACAAAUAAGAGACAGGGGACAUGGAAAGGCUUCUGUGCCCAGGAACUCCACAGGGUCCUGAUCAGUUUCACAUUCAGUAAAAGUUAGCUAAAAGAACUUGAGUUCCUCUCUCAAAUCUUGGUUGUAGGAUAAGGGUGUAAAGAGUCCUGUUAAAACAACAGCAAUUGACCCUGAUGCUUUUUUGUUUGUUUGUUUACUCUUUACAGUCUAUUAUAAAAUAGUUGUGUAGCGAUAGGAGGGUUGAUGGUCUUCAAAUACAUGAAUUGACCACAGUCUUUUGAUUUAAUAGGUCAAUUUUUAACUAAUUAAAAACAUAAUCAUUCAUCCAGUUCAGUUGUAAUCAUUAAAAUGCUUUGUAAUCAUUAAAAACUCUGAAAGAACUUUGAGGAAAUAAAAGAAAAAUGGUAGAAAUAGUGUUUUAGACCCACUUAAAAAAAAAAAAAAACUCUGAAUUGAUGACCUUUUGUAAUCUCUAAGAAUGAUGAGUAAAUAAUCUCUGUGGAGAGGUCGUGGCUUCUGUUUCCUAGGGUGGGAGAUAGACUGCUGCCUUCUGGGCUUGGGCAGGUAGCUGCCUUCUGCAGAGGGGCAUAGAUAGUCUUUAUUUGUCUGCUUUCCUCAUCCAGCUCUCUGUCUACCCCUUCUGUGUCCUCUACAAUUUGAGCACAGGGGAACAGAAGGAAACAUUCUGUACAGAAAGUUGGACUGGCUUUAUAUUCUCUGGGCAUAGUGGGUUUAAAGUGGA